CAGGAGGUCGCCCACCCGCAUCGCACGGCCGCCGUCCCCCUGGACCGCUGGCUGCUGGUGCUGACUGCCCUCUCCUCUGAUGUCAUGCUGACAGACAGACGUUCAGACGGACUUGGGGCUGACAGCAACAAAAAGUCGCGGAAAAUAUAAAUAAGGUGGGCCUAGGUGAGUGACUGCUGCCGUAAGAGUACUUUCAGACAAAUGUGCGCCAGAGCUUAUGAGAGGGUAAGAGGAAGCUCGGUCAUUACUUUAUCCAU